rnacentral:rRNA from 1 species
GACGUAGGAUGCAAGCGUUGUUCGGAUUUAUUGGGCGUAAAGCGAGCGUAGGUGGCUAGAUAAGUCUGGUGUUAAAGCUAGGGGCUCAACCCCUGUGUUGCACUGGAAACUGUCUGGCUUGAGGAUGGUAGGGGAAGGUGGAAUUCCGAGUGUAGCGGUGAAAUGCGUAGAUAUUCGGAGGAACACCGGUGGCGAAAGCGACCUUCUGGGCCAUUUCUGACACUGAGGCUCGAAAGCUUGGGGAGCAAACGGG